ensembl:lncRNA
CUGAGCACCACCCAAGCAGACAAUCUGGCCCUGGGAGAGAAGCUGCAAAACCUGCCCAGCUGCCUGUAUGAGAAGCUGAAGGAGGAAAUGCAGGCCUGGCAGGAAGAAGUGAAGGACACUCAGGAGGAAGCCCUGGCUGGGCAGCCCCCCAGCUGCCAGAGGGCAGUGCCACUCCUUCUGCCACCUGACCUUCCCCAAGUACAUGGAAACCAGUCAGCCCUGCCCAGGCCUCAGUCCAGGGACCUGACACCUCCUCUGGAAACCACCCUAUCAGCCUAACAAUAAACUUCCCAGCUAAGCUGCAGUUCCA